GAUGAACGCUAGCGGCAGGCUUAAUACAUGCAAGUCGAGGGGCAGCAUGGUGUAGCAAUACACUGAUGGCGACCGGCAAACGGGUGCGGAACACGUACACAACCUUCCUUCGAGCGGGGAAUAGCCCGGGGAAACCCGGAUUAAUACCCCCAUAGUAUAUUGGAGUGGCAUCACUUUGGUAUUAAAGAUUUAUCACUUGA
rnacentral:rRNA from 1 species